rnacentral:lncRNA from 1 species
AUUCAAACUCUCCAUCAUAGCACUUCUUUUAGUAACACUUGCCACUCCAAAACAAUCUGGGUACAAGAGUCGGGAUCCACGUUAUAUGGUGUCUUGUCAUCAGUCAUAUGGGAUAUUCUGGAAAUAUGAAGAACAAAUCACUUAAUUAAGCAUGGUGCAACAAUACUGAAGAUUCAUGGCUUUGACAUUUGACAAAAUGAGUGUAGUGCCUUGUAUUAGGUCAAUAAGUCUACUGAAUAUGCAAAGCCUAUCAGUUGCCAAGGGCUCGAAUUAAAAAUUUUGAUUUAGUGACCGAACCCCAUAUAUAUAACUCAUUUCCACCUCGCAACUAAGCUUCAGUAAUAAUUUAUUUCAAGCUGACAUGCAUGAUGACUUCAGCAGCGGUUGGUCAAAGAGGCGUACGUAGAAUAACAACCUGGCUUUCCCUAAAAAAUGUUCUUAAGAAUUGUUUGAACACGAAGCCACCUAAAGGAUUGCACAAGGCACCGUGGCAUGGCAUGCUCAAUUUGAUGAGUAUCAGUUUCGAUUCUUAUCAUUCUCCGAUUCGACAAAGUAUGGCUUCACUCUCUGCCAUGCUUCAUGCUUCAUGAAGUCUUCAAUAUAAAUCUUUGUUAAAACAUCAUUUGCAGCUGAACUCUUGUGUCCUGGCAAUAAUAUGACUUAUAAAUCAAGCAAUUAAGAAAGUCAAAGUUUUCAUGCGGGUCAACCAUGGUCUUGGUGAUUCCAUCUGCCAUAAAACAUAAGCAUGACCAAAACAAAAUGGUGUAUUAGUAUUUUGUGAUAUCUCUAAAAGCCAUAUAUCAGGUAUAAGUUUUUUUAAAAAAUUAAAUAAAAUAGCAAUUGAAAGCAACGGUUGGUGAAAAUAUAUACAAAGUAAAUGACGGAAAGCCAAGAGACAAAAAGUUUA